CUGUGGAGCCAGGGAAAGUCAGGGAGAGAGCAGUGCCUCUCUCCCCAUAAGACUUCAGCCUCCUUUUAAGGGCAAAUCGGCUGCAGUGUGCACUCGGAACUGCCCACUUCCUGCCUUCGCCUUCAUUCUCCACAUAUUGAAAUAACUUAAGAAAAAAAAGACAAAAAAGCAAUGCUGAACUCCCCGGCUUCUCAGCACGUAUAAAAGGAAACACUAUUUUUAUUUUUUAAAUUUUUUUAAAGAGAAGUAUUUUAUUUCGGCUUGCCUUCUUCACAGCCAAAGGCCUGUAGUUCAGGCAAUUCUGACUUUAGGCCUUAAGCGAAGAUCAGCAGAAAACUUUAUUCGCGUUGGUUCACCAUUUAGCUAUGGAUUAUAAAAUGGAAGGUUGCAUCCAAACCUUGACAGUCUCUGCCAUGAGGUCUUGUGUGAUUCAUUGGCGCAGUGUUGUGUUCCGUGCUGUGUUUGAGCCAAGGGCACAUCACUGCCAAGUUAGGGGCUAGCCCCAUCCUGAGAGAAUGCUGAGGAAGACAGAAGCCAUCACAGAGGAGAAAUGUUAUGAAACCAGUUACCUGUGGAAACUGAAUGUGUGAGGUGAGCUUUCCUCUGAAACCGGAGCUUGAGCCCUCAGCCAGACUCAACACUUUUCCCUUAAAGCAGCUGCAAAUGCCUCCCUUUCAUCGCUGCCGGAGCAUCAAAUUCCUGACAAAUUAAGAAAAAAGAAUUACGGUCAUGGCUCUUUAUUAUCUAGCCAAAUCGGUUUUCAUUUUCGGUUGGCGAAGGUAGUGAUCCCGAGAACUUUAAGAACUUGCUGAGCUUGAACUGGAUCCAGAAGGAGGAGGUUCAUUUUCAUCGUGAAGUUUUUAGCACCCAGGGAAUCGGGCAGACAAGCUGGCAUUUGUCUGGGCGCUCAUGCAGUCUUUGGUGUUUCGGGGAAACUUCCGCUGGAGACAGACCCCAGGCUGACCCCGAGAUGAGUACAGCUCACACAGACAGACCUGGUGUCCACGGGUGUGAAGCCUGCUGAGGCUCUCCCUGCCAACCACGAGCCGCUGGCCCUCUCUACAGCAGGACUCCGGUGCAGAACCCCUCACCCCUCCUAAGCUACCACGUUCGGCUUGGGCCUGUUUCAAAGGCCGUUUGCAGACGAAAGCAUCUUACCCAGAAGGCAAUUUCUAUGCUGCUUGCUUCCUUAGUUCCCAGGCUUGCAUGGUAUAACUACAAAAAAAAAAAAAAAAAAAAAAAAAUUGAUCUCCCCUGAGCUGAGAUGUGUAAAACCAAAGGCGUCGAGGAUGCUACGAACACGAACGCCUCUUUGCCGAGAUUGGUGUCAGGGCCGGGCCUCUACUAGUCGCUCAGUGCCACAUCAGCAUUCUGUGUUUUCUCUCCGGGUGCUCUGCACGCCAGAUGCCGCUGGCAAGCCCGCCGGUAGACACCUCAUCGGCGGGGGCUGCUCUGGGACCACUCGGGAUGGAGGGCGCCCAUAACUGCUGGCGGGAACCCGACAGGUUUGGCCGCAGCUGCAGAAACGCGAACCAAGACUUCAUUUUGAAGUGUAUCUGAUGGUCCCUUGUCAGCGCUGUCACCGGAGGGUCCAUUUCGAGCUCAUUCUUUGAAAGGCUCAGCCGCUUCACAGCUUCAACCUUUGUACUGUUCUGCCUGAGACUGCAGGAAAAAAAAAAAAAAACACCAAAAACAAACAAACAAA